rnacentral:rRNA from 1 species
GCAGCCGCCGCGGUAAUACGGAGGGGGCUAGCGUUGUUCGGAAUUACUGGGCGUAAAGCGCACGUAGGCGGCUUUGUAAGUUAGAGGUGAAAGCCUGGGGCUCAACUCCAGAAUUGCCUUUAAGACUGCAGAGCUAGAACGUCGGAGAGGUGAGUGGAAUUCCGAGUGUAGAGGUGAAAUUCGUAGAUAUUCGGAAGAACACCAGUGGCGAAGGCGGCUCACUGGACGACUGUUGACGCUGAGGUGCGAAAGCGUGGGGAGCAAACAGGAUUAGAUACCCGGGUAGUCCCUGUCUCUUAUAC